rnacentral:lncRNA from 1 species
GACAAACAAAACUACAAGACUUGAGACAAAACACUACAAGAUACAAGACUUGAGAUACACGGACACAACAGAACUAGACUCGUGACACAAGAGUACAAGAGACUUGUGACACAACACUACAAGACUCGUGAGAUACACGGAUUUCCUCGACCACAAGACCUGAACUCUCCACUCUGCAUCACAAGAACAAUAACCUGCAUCACAAGAACAAUAACAGUUUAAACAUACAAGAACAAGAACAUUUUUUAAAAACCAGAACAAGAAUACUAGAAGAAGCUGCAUCACAAUAACAACUUAAACAGAUCAAGAAAAUCUAUUCCGAGAACAAGAACAUUUUUUAAAAAACAGACAAGAACAAGCAACCUAAACAUGAAACAGAACAAGAAACCUAAUUUAGAACAAGUCAUUUAUGAGCUUCUUCUUGAGUGAUUCUUCAUAGUCAGCAAGAGGUUCUUUUUUUCCUAAAAGACUUUGAAGCAUAUUCAUCUUAGAUAGCUUCUCUUUAGCGGCCAAAUCCUGCUGUUUGAUCCUCCACAUUGUCUCAAACUCAUCCAGAUUUUUCUCGUCUACCACCUUCUUCUUACCACUUUUUCACACCCGGGGGACGUUUGUUCUCUGUUGCUUGAGAGGUCUCUGAAUCAGCUCCAUCCUCA